GGCGCACGGGUGCGUAACGCGUAUGCAACCUACCUUUAUCAGGGGGAUAGCCCGGAGAAAUCCGGAUUAACACCGCAUAACAUCAUGUUAUAGCAUUAUAAUAUGAUCAAACAUUUAUGGGAUAAAGAUGGGCAUGCGUGKCAUUAGCUAGUUGGCGGGGUAACGGCCCACCAAGGCGACGAUGACUAGGGGAUCUGAGAGGAUGGCCCCCCACACUGGUACUGAGACACGGACCAGACUCCUACGGGAGGCAGCAGUAAGGAAUAUUGGUCAAUGGAGGCAACUCUGAACCAGCCAUGCCGCGUGCAGGAAGACUGCCCUAUGGGUUGUAAACUGCUUUUAUCCGGGAAUAAACCUACUUACGUGUAAGUAGCUGAAUGUACCGKAAGAAUAAGGAUCGGCUAACUCCGUGCCAGCAGCCGCGGUAAUACGGAGGAUCCAAGCGUUAUCCGGAUUUAUUGGGUUUAAAGGGUGCGUAGGCGGCCUGUUAAGUCAGGGGUGAAAGACGGUAGCUCAACUAUCGCAGUGCCCUUGAUACUGAUGGGCUUGAAUGGACUAGAGGUAGGCGGAAUGAGACAAGUAGCGGUGAAAUGCAUAGAUAUGUCUCAGAACACCGAUUGCGAAGGCAGCUUACUAUGGUCCUAUUGACGCUGAGGCACGAAAGCGUGGGGAUCAAACAGGAUUAGAUACCCUGGUAGUCCACGCCCUAAACGAUGAACACUCGCUGUUGGCGAUACACAGUCAGCGGCUAAGCGAAAGCGUUAAGUGUUCCACCUGGGGAGUACGCCCGCAAGGGUGAAACUCAAAGGAAUUGACGGGGGCCCGCACAAGCGGAGGAGCAUGUGGUUUAAUUC
rnacentral:rRNA from 1 species